rnacentral:tRNA from 1 species
GCCCGGGUAGCCCAACGGUAGAGGCGCGGCGCUCAGACCGUCGUUGUUGGAGGUUCGACUCCUCUCCCGGGCA